rnacentral:tRNA from 1 species
GCCUGGGUGGCUCAGUCGGUCGAGUGUGGGACUUUGGCUCAGGUUAUGAUCUCAUGGUCCGUGGGUUCAAGCCCCACAUCAGGCU